AAUAAGCUUUUUGUGCGUAUGGAAAUUUCUGGGAUCUUUUAUUUCAGCUCAUGAAAGAUGAGACCAACACUUACAUGUUGCGUAUUUUUGUUCAGUGUAUGAUGAUGAAUGUUUGAAUGUAGGCUAUUUCUUUCUAUGUGAAUCAGUGGCCAUGCAUGUUGACUUUACACUGACUGAGUGUAAUCUAGUUGACUGUCUGUGGUGUUUCAGAUGGAGAGAAGAGAGAGGAGAACAGAACAGGGUGACUACUGAUCUGGACCACAUUCUGAAGGGGCUGGACUCCAUGUCUGAGUGUCUGGACAGACUGGCAUAUAGUGUGGGCACAGCUGAGAGGGUGUGACCUGAUCACGUGACUUCAGCCACCCAGUCAAGAUGGCCUCUCUGAAUAGAGCGGAACAGGGGGAGAGGACAGUCCAUUCAGCUCUCCCCAGCCCGCCAUAGUGAAGCCACCUCAACUAAAGGCCCCAAAGCCACCAGACUAUUCUAACGGAUCCAGCUCCAGUAAACCUCCUACUCCUCCUUCUCACCCUCCUUCAAAUGUCCCCAACACAAAAACAGGCACUUGGAAGGUGAGCGG